rnacentral:rRNA from 1 species
AGCGAACGCUGGCGGCAGGCUUAACACAUGCAAGUCGAACGCCCCGCAAGGGGAGUGGCAGACGGGUGAGUAACACGUGGGAACGUACCCUUUGGUUCGGAAUAACUUGGGGAAACUCAAGCUAAUACCGGAUAAGCCCUUAUGGGGAAAGGUUUACUGCCGAAGGAUGGGCCCGCGUCUGAUUAGCUAGUUGGUGAGGUAAUGGCUCACCAAGGCGACGAUGAGUACCUGGUCUGAGAGGAUGAUCAGCCACACUGGGACUGAGACACGGCCCAGACUCCUACGGGAGGCAGCAGUGGGGAAUAUUGGACAAUGGGGGCAACCCUGAUCCAGCCAUGCCGCGUGAGUGAUGAAGGCCUUAGGGUUGUAAAGCUCUUUUACCCGGGACGAUAAUGACUGUACCGGGAGAAUAAGCCCCGGCUAACUUCGUGCCAGCCGCCGCGGUAA